GACGAACGCUGGCGGCGUGCUUAACACAUGCAAGUCGAACGGAAAGGCCCUGCUUUUGUGGGGUGCUCGAGUGGCGAACGGGUGAGUAACACGUGAGUAACCUGCCCUUGACUUUGGGAUAACUUCAGGAAACUGGGGCUAAUACCGGAUAGGAGCUCCUGCUGCAUGGUGGGGGUUGGAAAGUUUCGGCGGUUGGGGAUGGACUCGCGGCUUAUCAGCUUGUUGGUGGGGUAGUGGCUUACCAAGGCUUUGACGGGUAGCCGGCCUGAGAGGGUGACCGGCCACAUGGGGACUGAGAUACGGCCCAGACUCCUACGGGAGGCAGCAGUGGGGAGUAUUGCGCAAUGGGCGGAAGCCUGAUGCAGCAGCGCCGCGUGCGGGAUGACGGCCUACGGGUUGUAAACCGCUGUCGCCUGUGACGAAGCGUGAGUGACGGUAAUGGGUAAAGAAGCACCGGCUAACUACGUG
rnacentral:rRNA from 1 species